ensembl:lncRNA
UCUCAGGAUCGGUGUGUGUGUUCUAGGUGUUGCUGUCAUCCCUUCAGUAAUUGCUGUCAGCUGCUUAACACCUCUUCCCACCUGUCUUCGCUUCUACCUCAAAAAGCAGAAAUGAGAAACUUGAAAAGGCCGUUUGUUGAAUCCAGUGUGUUUUGGGUCAUGACACGAGUGAACAGGACUGUUUCUUGCCUUGACAAACACUGGUGCAGGCCCGUGUCAACGAUAAAGGCAAAUCUCCAUUCAAAUGGAGCCAGUUGGUGGAGCUGUGUGCAGGCAAUUAUGCACCCUCAGGAGAAAUGUGACCUACUUGAAGAACAGGAAACUGGCACUUCUCAGCAUGAGACUUAUUUUUGUCUUAAGGACACUGUGAGUCAGAUAUUCUGUGAAAGAUCAGCCUUGAAUUGCUGGCUGACUUGAAGAUUCAAACUUUCAUGUUGCUGGAUGAUCAUAGAGCUGCCCUGGAGACUGUAGGGAUUUCAAGGUGGCACAUCCGACCUUUCAAGCUUUCAUCUUCACACCUCUUCAUGCCUCUUAUGACAGAUAAUUACAGCUGAGGAUGAACACCAACAGGAAAGCAGACCUCUUAUCUUCACGUUAUGCACUUCCACCAACAUUUUAAGACAAAUUAUUAAUAACUGUGCUCGAGAAAACGGUACCAGCAGAAGCUUCUGAGAUACUGAAUUGUUUUGUGA